UCAUGUAUACAGAAGGCUGUGUGUAGGUUAUAUGUAAGUACUACAUUAUUUUAUAUAAAGGACUUGAACAUCCUCAGAUAUUGGUGUGGGGUGGGGGGAGUCCUGGGACAAUCCCCUAUUGAUACUAAGGGAUGACUCUAUCUUAAUCCACUGGCACGGUUCUGACAUUCUCGCUCUGGGCAACACUGCUUGACCCCUAAUCAUUCCCCUUGCCUUCUCCAUCUCAUUUCUAGAGUGUGACUUCUGGCAGACAAAAGGCUGCCCCUCAUAAUGGCUUCAGUGGGAGAAGCCGCUUCAACACCAUGGCCAAGAACAAUCUGGAUUUAAAGCUGGCCCUUAGUAAACGUGUCUGAAUUCUGAGACUUUUGACCAUAUACAACCUGAAAUUCAAGUUAUUGGAUUUGGUCUCCCAUUAGCCUCUGGAGAGGAAAGCUCACAAAUGAAUUUAAGCAAUUCAUUGAGGCACUGACCACCCAUAUGUUCCCCAAACCAACUUCUUUAUUAUCUACCUACCCUAAUCUAAAGAAGAAAAGAAAGAAGUAAUGGCACAAAGACUUUGAAAGGUGGUACCUUAAUUUCCUAAAUUAUAAAAUUGCUUGCAAAGUCA